UAGAUUUGAAGUGAAGAUUAUAAAUUAAUGUUGUUUAAGUCGAACAUAGCUAUCUCAAAAAAUCAAAAUGAGGUAAUAUUUAUCUGUAAUAUUCACGCUCACCGCAUGCGGAAUAAUACUGUAGUUUGUUUAUCAUUGUGAAACAUCCAGUUGUGGUACACAAAGCCUGGAGCUCCAGAUAACAAGCGAUUGUGCUGAAUUUCACCCGAAAUUGCUCAUUGAAUCUCAUCUGUUUCAGUAGAAAUAUUAGGCUAAACUGAAGUACUCCUUGGAGAGAAGUUGGAGGGAAGAGGUUUUCCAGAAAAGCGUUGUUUUCCCUCUCAGCCUGGAUGUGUUUAUUUCCAUAAACUUACAUGAAGUAAACACUGAGAAGCCUAACGGGCCUUGUGUGGAAAUUGGAUUGGGACCAGAGCUAAGAGCAACUUUGUAGCUAAAGUGCAGAUUUGUUCGAGUCCCAAUGAGCCAACAUUCAAGGGAACAGGAGAGGCCUAGGACCACUUCAACUAUCUACCGAAGCAAGUCAGAAAAUGGCACUAAAGAUGUAGGCCAUAAUCAGGUAAAUUAAAUCCUUCUGGAAUGACAAAAAUUAACUUUCU